AAUGAGAUGCCUGAUUAAAGGAUUACUUUGAUAGAGUAAAUAAUGUAAAUUUACUCUCAUUA
rnacentral:tRNA from 1 species